UUUGUUGGUAUACCCUAACCUAUUAACCUAAUCUGAGUCCCAAUCAUUUGGGUAUUUAUACGAAGCCCGAUCAUCCAUAUUUAUUACGAUUUAUAACGAAAACAGUGUUUAUGACGCGUGUCACCCAUAGAUAAUAAAGAAUAAUGGUUAGAACGUCCCUAUACUAGACCCGUCACCCGUACGCUUUUUCGUUCUCUAAUAUGGCAGACUUGAGCGAUUUGUUUGCAUUAUUUUAUAUGGUACGACACCGUGAUAUCCAUGACUAAGAUCAAGAUGUGGGAUAUAUAUAAACACCUUGGUGUACAACGUUGUCACGGAGUCGCCGCGAAAUGUAAACG